AGUGAACGCUGGCGGUAGGCCUAACACAUGCAAGUCGAACGGCAGCACAGGAGAGCUUGCUCUCUGGGUGGCGAGUGGCGGACGGGUGAGGAAUACAUCGGAAUCUACUCUGUCGUGGGGGAUAACGUAGGGAAACUUACGCUAAUACCGCAUACGACCUACGGGUGAAAGCAGGGGAUCUUCGGACCUUGCGCGAUUGAAUGAGCCGAUGUCGGAUUAGCUAGUUGGCGGGGUAAAGGCCCACCAAGGCGACGAUCCGUAGCUGGUCUGAGAGGAUGAUCAGCCACACUGGAACUGAGACACGGUCCAGACUCCUACGGGAGGCAGCAGUGGGGAAUAUUGGACAAUGGGCGCAAGCCUGAUCCAGCCAUACCGCGUGGGUGAAGAAGGCCUUCGGGUUGUAAAGCCCUUUUGUUGGGAAAGAAAUCCAGCUGGCUAAUACCCGGUUGGGAUGACGGUACCCAAAGAAUAAGCACCGGCUAACUUCGUGCCAGCCGCCGCCGUAA
rnacentral:rRNA from 1 species